rnacentral:rRNA from 1 species
ACUCCUACGGGAGGCAGCAGUGGGGAAUCUUAGACAAUGGGGGCAACCCUGAUCUAGCCAUGCCGCGUGAGUGAUGAAGGCCCUAGGGUUGUAAAGCUCUUUCAGCUGGGAAGAUAAUGACGGUACCAGCAGAAGAAGCCCCGGCUAACUCCGUGCCAGCAGCCGCGGUAAU